UCAGGGAAUUUACAGUCUCACUGAGGAGCUCGGACAGGUCAAUGAAACAUCUAGAAAACAACCACUGGAAAAAGAGCUAAACUGCAAUGGAGAUCCCUUGAAGAAUUUCAGGCAGUAAUUUUGCCCGAAAGCAAGGCUGUCAUCGUUAAAGCUGCUGAUCAACUCUUCUGAGUCUUUGGAGGGACCCAGAGUUUCAGUUUCAAGAAUGCAUGUGCUGCAGGAGAGAGAGGUUGUGGAUGCUGAAACAGAUGUGCUCAAAUACCCAGUCGCAGCCUGAGUGUGAUCACUUGCUCAGGGGAAAGCUGGCUGCCAUAUUUUGAACAGUCCUGUGGAGAAGACUACUUGGUGAGACAUGGAGGCCUCCAGAUACACUGAGAGAAGCUGAGGCUCAGGUAUGUAAGUGAGCCCUCCUGGAAGUGGAUCCCCCAGACCCAGUCAAGCCUUCAGAUGACAGCCAUCCUGGCCAACAUCUUGAUUGCAACCUCAUGGGAGAUUCUGAGCUGGAAACACCCAAAUAAACCAGUCCUAGAGACCUGACUCUCAGAAGCUGUUUGAGAUAAUAAAUGUUUGUUGUUUUAA